ACAGUCCUGCGCCUCGAUAAAUUUACUGCGUAAUUGUGGAGGUGCUGUGUUAGCAUCUCGUCCUAGUGACUGUGCAUAGGACUUUCCACCACAGGCUUUCCCAGAAGACCCUACACUGUGCUAUGGAAAACGCGGACACAGCAAAGCGAACGCUGAUCCCAGACCUCCCUCGGGUUGUCAAGACUCAGGCACCGGCUGCUCAUUGAGAGCUCUACGUGCCCCGGCUGCCUGCCCUUCCUCAUGGCACUACUGUGCACAGUGUGCUGUGUUUUAAGGGUACAGCUGUGCUGUGCUGUUUCCUCUCUUCAGUCCGUCCAUCCAGGAAGGUGCAUUUUGUCCCAUCUAAUCACCACUUAAGUUUGGAGAAGGUGAGCUGAAAAGUACUUCCUUAGCCUGCAAAAUGGACUAAUGAAUUUCUCGAUACCGAAACACCUUUUGAGGCCAAAGUAGUGCUUGUAUAGAUGAUUUUAAAAGUUUUCUUCUAGAAGACAUGUAAAAUAUGUGGUUUGCUUUUGUUAGGUUUUUUUUGUUUUGCUUUGUUUUGUUUUGUUUUAAUGUGCUUAAAAUAUUCUUUCAUACCAGCAGAGCUGUGACUGGAUGUAGCAUGACCUGGCAUAAAUGCCAGGGUAGAAACUCAACUUUGGUAGUUGGAUUUGAUCAGAAGAAUAAAAGCAGAUUGUUGUUUC